rnacentral:rRNA from 1 species
UACGUAGGGGGCAAGCGUUGUCCGGAUUUAUUGGGCGUAAAGAGCGUGUAGGCGGCCUGAAAGGUCAGCUGUGAAAACUCGAGGCUCAACCUCGAGACGUCGGUUGAAACCAUCUGGCUAGAGUCCGGAAGAGGAGUGUGGAAUUCCCGGUGUAGCGGUGAAAUGCGCAGAUAUCGGGAAGAACACCCGUGGCGAAGGCGGCUUCCUGGUCCGACACCGACGUUCAGGCACGAAAGCGUGGGGAGCAAACAGG